UCUACUUUAUGUUCUGUUAUGGGAUGGGAUCCGAAGCUCUCCGAGGGAUAACAUAGGCUCUCCCAUCCAACUCCUAUUCCGACACGUCCUCGUCGUGCAGAGUGCCAUAUACAUGUGCCUCCAUAUAUCCUAGCUUGGGUACACGGGCUAGAUCCAACCCCUUGGGCGGAUGGUGGCAUAUGGCGAACUAGGAGGGG
rnacentral:ribozyme from 1 species